UUUACUAUAUAUUUCUGGUAUAAAUUUAUAUUUCUCCCAAAUCUCAUGCUUUUGGCUUUGGAAACCCAACUCACCAUUAAAUUGCAGCGUCUUAAAUUGUACUCUCUUUGCAUACUGAUUUAUCCUCUGGUACUCAGCUAAUUCUUUUCGUGUUCGUUUUUGCCAUCGAGGACAUCAACAGGGGCCCGCUGCUCUUACUCUACAUGUCUUUGGGGUAUCACGUCUACAAUACCUACCACAUUAAUCAGAGGACUUUGGAGGGCCCUCUGUUUUGGCUGUCAGGAGGGGCCGAGAACCUUCCCAAUUAUACAUGUCCAUUUGAUCCUUUGCCUAAUGAUGAAGGACAGUUUCCAUCUCUGUAUCAGAUGGUCCCAAGGAAUCAUCUUUGCCUCUUGGCAUGGUGAAGCUGUUGCAGCAUUUUAGCUAGAUCUGGUAGGGCUGCUUGUCUCGGAUGACAUAAAAGGUGGGCAUUUUUGGAAUACUUUGAAAACGUGGAAAGCGUGUGUUACCACCUCCCAGUGGGACUUUAUCACACAUGGGGGAAGUUUCAUACUUAAUCCAUUCCAUGGGACUCUCACUUUUUCAAAGCAGAACAGUGAGAUGCCUGGCUUCCAGCAUUUUGUUCAGACAGACUCCAAUGAAUGUGCAAAAUGCCCAGACAACCAGUAUUCAGUGAGAGCGAUCACUGCCUCACAGAGUUGUGACCUUCCUGGACUUUGAAGAUGCACUGGGGACAGCACUGGCCAGCAUAGCUCUCUGUUUCUCUGUCCUCACUGCCGCCAUGGUUCUUAUGAUCUUUGUGAAGCACAUACACACACUCAUAGUCAAGACUCUCAGCGACAUCUCUCUGUCUGUUUUCUUCUGCUCCUUGCUCUUCACUGGCUGUACAAACACAGUCACUUGUAACCUCUGACAGACAACAUUUGGAAUCAUUUUUACUGUGGUUGUUUCAACUGCGUUAGCUAAAACUAUCACUGUGCUUAUAGCCUGUAAGGCUACAGCAUCAGAGAGAAAGCCAAAGUGGUUUUGGGGACCGGGAGUAUUUAGCACAGUUAUUUUCAUCUGUUUCCUUAUCCAAGUAACUCUCUGGAAUUUGGCAUGGGAUCAAAGAGUGCCAUCAGGACUCUCAAUGAUGAGGUAUUCUUUGCCUUCCACUCUGUUCUGGGAUUCUUGACCUUUUUGGCACUGGGGAGCUUCAUCUUGGCUUUCCUGGCCAGGAGCCUGCCUGACACCUUCAAUGAAGCCAAGUUCUUGAUGUUCAGCAUGCUGAUGUUAUGUACUGUUUGAAUUACCUUCCAUACUGUGUAACAUAGCACCAAAGGGAAGGUCAUGGUUGCCUUGGAAAUAUUCUCCACCUUGACUUCCAGUGCUGAGUGCUAGGUGGUAUCUUUGCUCCCAGAGGCCGUAUUAUUCUAAUAAAACCAGAUAAGAAUACUCUUGGAGAGUUAAGGAAAAAA
rnacentral:lncRNA from 1 species